rnacentral:rRNA from 1 species
AUGCACUCCGAAACCUCCACCGAUGGGCUCAACCAGGUGCCUUUCUCUCUUGAGGACCCAGAUUACAAGGGUCUUGAGCUAGAUCUGAUAGUGUUGUGCGAGAAGCAUGGGAAGCCAUCAGAGAGGCCUGUUGCAUUUGAAGGAACAAUGCCUGGGAGAAGGAUUACAUUAAGUUAUUUUACAAUGUGCUCCUGUUGCUUAGCACAUGGCUAUGCAAAUUCAGUGUUGGUCAGUACCAACAUUAGCUACUGCCAUGAACUAACUGUUGAAGGUCAGAAUUGUGGGUUUGUUUAG